UGGCGAACGGGUGAGUAACACGUGAGUAACCUGCCCCCGACUUUGGGAUAAGCCCGGGAAACUGGGUCUAAUACCGGAUAUGACUUCUUACCGCAUGGUGGGUUGUUGAAAGAUUUAUCGGUGGGGGAUGGACUCGCGGCCUAUCAGCUUGUUGGUGAGGUAAUGGCUCACCAAGGCGACGACGGGUAGCCGGCCUGAGAGGGUGACCGGCCACACUGGGACUGAGACACGGCCCAGACUCCUACGGGAGGCAGCAGUGGGGAAUAUUGCACAAUGGGCGAAAGCCUGAUGCAGCGACGCCGCGUGAGGGAUGACGGCCUUCGGGUUGUAAACCUCUUUCAGUAGGGAAGAAGCGAAAGUGACGGUACCUGCAGAAGAAGCGCCGGCUAACUACGUGCCAGCAGCCGCGGUAAUACGUAGGGCGCAAGCGUUAUCCGGAUUUAUUGGGCGUAAAGAGCUCGUAGGCGGUUUGUCGCGUCUGCCGUGAAAGUCCGAGGCUCAACCUCGGAUCUGCGGUGGGUACGGGCAGACUAGAGUGAUGUAGGGGAGACUGGAAUUCCUGGUGUAGCGGUGAAAUGCGCAGAUAUCAGGAGGAACACCGAUGGCGAAGGCAGGUCUCUGGGCAUUUACUGACGCUGAGGAGCGAAAGCAUGGGGAGCGAACAGGAUU
rnacentral:rRNA from 1 species